GAUGAACGCUGGCGGCGUGCCUAAUACAUGCAAGUCGAGCGAACAGACGAGGAGCUUGCUCCUCUGACGUUAGCGGCGGACGGGUGAGUAACACGUGGAUAACCUACCUAUAAGACUGGGAUAACUUCGGGAAACCGGAGCUAAUACCGGAUAGCAUGUUGAACCGCAUGGUUCAACAGUGAAAGACGGUCUUGCUGUCACUUAUAGAUGGAUCCGCGCCGCAUUAGCUAGUUGGUAAGGUAACGGCUUACCAAGGCAACGAUGCGUAGCCGACCUGAGAGGGUGAUCGGCCACACUGGAACUGAGACACGGUCCAGACUCCUACGGGAGGCAGCAGUAGGGAAUCUUCCGCAAUGGGCGAAAGCCUGACGGAGCAACGCCGCGUGAGUGAAGAAGGUCUUCGGAUCGUAAAACUCUGUUAUUAGGGAAGAACAAAUGUGUAAGUAACUAUGCACGUCUUGACGGUA
rnacentral:rRNA from 1 species